CUUGUACUCGCUCCGUCCGAAAAUACUUGUCAUUGAAAUGGAUGUAUCUAGAUGUAUUUUAGUUCUAGACACAUCCAUUUUGAUGACAACUAAUUCCGGGCGGAGGGAGUACUUG
rfam:Triticum urartu cultivar G1812 contig336692, whole genome shotgun sequence.